CCUCCUCCCUUGGCAUGGGAUCCAUCUCGGGCAUCCCCCUUGCUGGUGUGAGGCAUCACACCACCACCUUUCCUCUCUCGUUUGAUUGAGUUGCGAAGGUGAUUCGAUCAGAGUUCAUCCCACUUUCUUGCAUUGUCUGGUGUGUAUGCAAAUUAGAGGAUCUAUACUUUCAGACCUCCACAAAGGUUUGUUUCUGAUUUUUGAAGAUUUGAUCUCUGGUUUUGCUGCUAAUCAGGUAAAAAUUUGAUCCUUAUUCAUGU
rnacentral:lncRNA from 1 species